GACGAACGCUGGCGGCGUGCUUAACACAUGCAAGUCGAACGAAGAGCGAUGGAAGCUUGCUUCUAUCAAUCUUAGUGGCGAACGGGUGAGUAACGCGUAAUCAACCUGCCCUUCAGAGGGGGACAACAGUUGGAAACGACUGCUAAUACCGCAUACGAUCUAACCUCGGCAUCGAGGAUAGAUGAAAGGUGGCCUCUACAUGUAAGCUAUCACUGAAGGAGGGGAUUGCGUCUGGUUAGCUAGUUGGAGGGGUAACGGCCCAACAAGGCGAUGAUCAGUAGCCGGGCUGAGAAGAUGGACGGCCACAAUGGGACCGAGACACGGCCCAGACUCCUACGGGAGGGAGCAGUGGGGAAUCUUCCGCAAUGGACGAAAGGCUGACGGAGCAACGCCGCGGUAGUGAAGGCGGCCUUCGGGUUGUAAAGCUCUGUUAAUCGGGACGAAAGGGCUUCUUGCGAAUAGGGAGAAGGAUUGACGGUACCGGAAGAGAAAGCCACGGCUAACUACGUG
rnacentral:rRNA from 1 species